rnacentral:tRNA from 1 species
CCACCCGUGGCUCAAUGUUCAGAGCAUUGGACUUCUGAUCAACAGGUCGCGGGUUCGAACCUCGGGUGGU